GCAGUCUCCUCUGUGUACCUCCUGGCGUGGUAGCAAGGGGAGAUGGCGGACUGAGAUUGAUGCCUACGACGUGCCGGAUUCUUAGCAUUACUACUUACGGCAACUACUGGGGUGAAGAUGCUAUUAUCUACCCCUCCUCUUUCUUACUAAGAGAGACAACAAGGGUUGGUGCACUCACCCUAUCGCAGGGAUGCCGCUCAGCGCACUGCCGGCGCAGUCCCGCAGCUCCAUGCUGUAACCCUGCAAGGUAGAGCCAUCCUGUCCUACUCAUGGAUAAAGGCUCGAGGAAUAUUGCAAAGCUGACAGUGGCAGCCUAUACUGAGACCCGAAUCCUCCCACAGCAGGCCGUUGCUUAUUUUAUUGAGACACCUCUUUGCCCCUUUCUCACGGGUCCCUUCGUUUAUCGUCAUUGCGUUUCAUGGCAAUUCAGGCCCUCCUACCUCGCAUGCUUCAAGAUAGAUAGUUGUAAUAACUUCACACACACACACGCGCGCAAUGCUUUUUCCCUCUUUCCCGUCCUCCUCCAAUCCUGCACAAGAAAAUCUUCCCAAACGUUGGAUUAUUUCACUUCUCUACUCAAAAACCUUCCAAAAUGUACAGUUAACUAACAAAUGACUACACAAGUAGAAGUCCGAUAUCAUAGUAAUGUGGGUUUGUAGCCAUUCCUGGACAACACUCACCAAACCAUGAGUCCCAGAAUGCACGGGGGUUCGCGGGGGGAAGGGGGGCGGGGUAUGAUAGUGUCUGAAAGCGGUGGGAGUUUAAGAUUAAGGGAUGUAGCUAGCCUUAUGUAGACAACAGUGUGUUAUAAAGUGGAGUGGAGUGGCAUGCUCAUGACUCACUGCAGCCUCAACUUCCCGAGUUCUAGUAAUCCUCCAACCUCAGCCUCCCCAUUAGCUGGAACUACAGGUGUGCACCACCAUGCUCAGCUAAUUUUUGUAUUUUGUAUAGACAUGGGUUUUUGCCAUGUUACCCAGGCUGGUCUCAAACUUCUAACCUCAAGCGAUUGGCCCACCUUGGCCUCACAAGUGUGAGCCACCACUCCCAGCCUUUAAUCCAUUUUUCUUUGAUUUUUGUAAAUGGCAAGAGAUAGAGAUCUAGUUUCACUCUUUUGCAUAUGGAUAUCCAAUUUUCUCAGCAUCAUUUAUUGAAGAGACUGUCCUUUCCCCAGAGUAUGUUCUUGGCAACUUUGUCGAAAAUGAGUUUACCGUAGCUGUGUGGAUUUAUCUCUGCGUUCUCCGCUCUGUUCUACUGAUCUAUGUGUCUGUUUUUAUGCCAGUACCAUGCCAUUUUGUUUACUCUAGCUCUGUAGUAUAAUUUGAAGUCAGGUAAUGUGAUUCCUCCAGUUUUGUUCUUUUUGCUUAGGACAGGUUUGGCUAUUCUGGGUCUUUUGUGGUUCCAUAUAAUUUUUUUAAUUUUUAAUUUUUGUAGGUAGAUGGUACAUGUAUAUAUGAGGUACGGGAGAAGUUUUGAUACAGGCAUGCAAUGUGUGAUAAUCACAUCCUGAAGGAUAGGGUACUCAUCCCCUCAUGCAUUUUAUUCUUUGUGUUAUUAUACAAACAAAACAAUUAUACUGUUUUAGUUAUUUUUAAAUGAAAAUUAAAUUAUUGUUGACUACAGACACCUUGUUGUGCUAUCAAAUAGUAGAUCUUAUUCUUUCUAAUUUUUGUACACAUUUAUUAUCCCCACCUGCCCCCCAACAUCCCCACCCCCUCUAUGUUUUCCAGUCUCUAGUAACCAUCCUUCUACUCUCUAUUUCCAUGAGUUAAAUUGUUUUGAUUGUUUGAUCCCACAAAUAGGUGAGAACAUGUGAUGUUUUUCUUUCUGUGCCUGGCUUAUUUCACUUAACAUAAUGAUCUCCAGUUUCAUCCAUGUUGUUGCAAAUGACAGGAUUUCAUUCUUUUUUAUGGCUGAAUAAUACUAUAUUGUGUAUAUGUAUCACAUUUUCUUUAUCCAUUCAUCUGUUGAUGGACACUUUGACUGUUUUCAAAUUUUAGCUAUUGUGAAGAGUGCUGCAACAAACAUGGGAGUGCAGAUAUUUCUUUGAUAUGCUGAUUUCCUUUCUUUUGGGUAUACACGCAGCAGUGGGAUUGCUGAAUCAUAUGGUAGCUCUAUUUUUAGUUUUUUGAGGCACCUCCAAACUGUUCUCCAUAGUGGUUGCACGAAUUUACAUUCCCACCAACAGUGUACAAGGGUUCCAUUUUCUCCACAUCCUCACCAGUAUUUGUUAUCGCCUGUCUUUUGAAUAUAAGCCAUCUUAACUGGGAUGAGAUGAUAUCUCAAAAUGAGUAGUUUGCAGAUAUGUUUUCUCACUCUUUGGGUUGUCUCUUCAGUUUGUUGAUUGUUUCCUUUGCUGUGCAGAAGCUUUUUAACUUGAUAUGAUCCCAUUUUUGCUUUGGUUGCGUAUGCUUGUGGGUUAUUAAUCAAGAAAUUUUUGCCUAACCAAUGUCCUAGAGAUUUUCCCCAAUAUUUUCUGUAGCCAUUUCAUAGUUUGAGGUCUUAGAUAUAAGUCUUUAAUCCAUUUUGAUUUGGUUUUUGUACACGGCAAGAGAAAGCAGUCUAGUUUUACUCUUCUGCAUAUGGAUAUCCAGGUCUCCCAGCACCAUUUAUUGAAGAGAUUGUUUUUUCCCCAGUGUAUGUUAUUGGCACC
rnacentral:lncRNA from 10 species